AAAGGGAGAAGGUGGAAGAACCUGUGAGCAUGCCCUGCUUCCUGUGCCGUUACGCAGAUUCUAAACACAGCAAAUCGAAGAGAGGGCUACACCAAACGGACGGCUCUCCCAGACGGGCUCAGUGCCACACACGCUGGGGGCAGGUCUGAAUGCAAGCUUGAUGGCAACUCUCUGCUCGGUCUGCCAAGGCUCCAGCUCAAAACGGCUUCUCGGCAUCCUCCACCUUCUUUUUCAAAAGUAACAAAGCC